rnacentral:rRNA from 1 species
UACGUAGGGUGCAAGCGUUGUCCGGAAUUAUUGGGCGUAAAGAGCUCGUAGGCGGUUUGUCGCGUCUGCUGUGAAAUCCUCAGGCUCAACUUGGGGCGUGCAGUGGGUACGGGCAGACUAGAGUGCGGUAGGGGAGACUGGAAUUCCUGGUGUAGCGGUGGAAUGCGCAGAUAUCAGGAGGAACACCGAUGGCGAAGGCAGGUCUCUGGGCCGUUACUGACGCUGAGGAGCGAAAAGCAUGGGGGAGCGAACAGG